rnacentral:rRNA from 1 species
UACAGAGGGGGCAAGCGUUAUUCGGAAUUAUUGGGCGUAAAGCGUGCGUAGGCGGUUCGCUGUGUCCGAUGUGAAAGCCCCGGGCUCAACCUGGGAAUUGCAUUCGAGACUGAAUAGCUAGGGUGCGGUAGAGGGAAGCGGAAUUUCCGGUGUAGCGGUGAAAUGCGUAGAUAUCGGAAGGAACAUCAGUGGCGAAAGCGGCUUCCUGGACCAGCACCGACGUUCAGGCACGAAAGCGUGGGGAGCAAACGGG